rnacentral:misc_RNA from 1 species
ACACCCUCAAGCUCUGCUUGGUGUUGGGCGUCUGUCCCGCCUCCGCGCGUGGACUCGCCCCAAAUUCAUUGGCAGCGGUCCUUGCCUCCUCUCGCGCAGCACAUUGCGCUUCUUGAGGGGCUCCGGUUCGCGUCCAACAAGCACAUUUACCGU